rnacentral:rRNA from 1 species
GUACGGGAGGCAGCAGUGGGGAAUCUUGCACAAUGGGGGAAACCCUGAUGCAGCGACGCCGCGUGAGCGAUGAAGCCCUUCGGGGUGUAAAGCUCUUUCGGCGGGGACGAAUAAUGACGGUACCCGCAGAAGAAGCUGCGGCUAACUACGUGCCAGCAGCCGCGGUAAUACGUAGGCAGCAAGCGUUGUUCGGAGUUACUGGGCGUAAAGAGUGUGUAGGCGGUCGCGCAAGUUCGGUGUGAAAUCUCCCGGCUUAACCGGGAGGGUGCGCCGGAAACUGCGCGGCUCGAGUGCGGGAGAGGAAAGUGGAAUUCCUGGUGUAGCGGUGAAAUGCGUAGAUAUCAGGAGGAACACCGGUGGUGUAGACGGCUUUCUGGACCGCAACUGACGCUGAGACACGAAAGCGUGGGGAGCAAACAGGAUUAGAUACCCCGGU